rnacentral:rRNA from 1 species
AUUGAACGCUGGCGGCAGGCCUAACACAUGCAAGUCGAACGGUAACAGGAAGAAGCUUGCUUCUUUGCUGACGAGUGGCGGACGGGUGAGUAAUGUCUGGGAAACUGCCUGAUGGAGGGGGAUAACUACUGGAAACGGUAGCUAAUACCGCAUAACGUCGCAAAACCAAAGAGGGGGACCUUCGGGCCUCUUGCCAUCGGAUGUGCCCAGAUGGGAUUAGCUAGUAGGUGGGGUAACGGCUCACCUAGGCGACGAUCCCUAGCUGGUCUGAGAGGAUGACCAGCCACACUGGAACUGAGACACGGUCCAGACUCCUACGGGAGGCAGCAGUGGGGAAUAUUGCACAAUGGGCGCAAGCCUGAUGCAGCCAUGCCGCGUGUAUGAAGAAGGCCUUCGGGUUGUAAAGUACUUUCAGCGGGGAGGAAGGGAGUAAAGUUAAUACCUUUGCUCAUUGACGUUACCCGCAGAAGAAGCACCGGCUAACUCCGUGCCAGCAGCCGCGGUAAUACGGAGGGUGCAAGCGUUAAUCGGAAUUACUGGGCGUAAAGCGCACGCAGGCGGUUUGUUAAGUCAGAUGUGAAAUCCCCGGGCUCAACCUGGGAACUGCAUCUGAUACUGGCAAGCUUGAGUCUCGUAGAGGGGGGUAGAAUUCCAGGUGUAGCGGUGAAAUGCGUAGAGAUCUGGAGGAAUACCGGCGGCGAAGGCGGCCCCCUGGACGAAGACUGACGCUCAGGUGCGAAAGCGUGGGGAGCAAACAGG